rnacentral:rRNA from 1 species
AUAACAGUUGGAAACGGCUGCUAAUACCGCAUAAGCGCACAGCAUCGCAUGAUGCAGUGUGAAAAACUCCGGUGGUAUAAGAUGGACCCGCGUUGGAUUAGCUAGUUGGUGAGGUAACGGCCCACCAAGGCGACGAUCCAUAGCCGACCUGAGAGGGUGACCGGCCACAUUGGGACUGAGACACGGCCCAAACUCCUACGGGAGGCAGCAGUGGGGAAUAUUGCACAAUGGGCGAAAGCCUGAUGCAGCGACGCCGCGUGAGCGAAGAAGUAUUUCGGUAUGUAAAGCUCUAUCAGCAGGGAAGAUAAUGACGGUACCUGACUAAGAAGCACCGGCUAAAUACGUGCCAGCAGCCGCGGUAAUACGUAUGGUGCAAGCGUUAUCCGGAUUUACUGGGUGUAAAGGGAGCGCAGGCGGUGCGGCAAGUCUGAUGUGAAAGCCCGGGGCUCAACCCCGGUACUGCAUUGGAAACUGUCGUACUAGAGUGUCGGAGGGGUAAGCGGAAUUCCUAGUGUAGCGGUGAAAUGCGUAGAUAUUAGGAGGAACACCAGUGGCGAAGGCGGCUUACUGGACGAUAACUGACGCUGAGGCUCGAAAGCGUGGGGAGCAAACAGGAUUAGAUACCCUGGUAGUCCACGCCGU